rnacentral:rRNA from 1 species
AUUGAACGCUGGCGGCAUGCCUUACACAUGCAAGUCGAACGGCAGCACGGGAGCUUGCUCCUGGUGGCGAGUGGCGAACGGGUGAGUAAUGCAUCGGAACGUGCCCUGAAGUGGGGGAUAACGUAGCGAAAGUUACGCUAAUACCGCAUAUUUACUGUGAGCAGGAAAGCAGGGGAUCUUCGGACCUUGCGCUUUUGGAGCGGCCGAUGUCGGAUUAGCUAGUUGGUGGGUAAAGGCCCACCAAGGCGACGAUCCGUAGCGGGUCUGAGAGGAUGAUCAGCCACACUGGGACUGAGACAGGCCCAGACGUCCUACGGGAGGCAGCAGUGGGGAAUAUUGGACAAUGGGCGCAAGCCUGAUCCAGCAAUGCCGCGUAGUGUGAAGAAGGCCUAGC